rnacentral:rRNA from 1 species
AUUGAACGCUGGCGGCAGGCCUAACACAUGCAAGUCGAGCGAGCGGCGGACGGGUGAGUAAUGUCUGGGAAACUGCCUGAUGGAGGGGGAUAACUACUGGAAACGGUAGCUAAUACCGCAUACUAUCAGAUGUGCCCAGGUGGGAUUAGCUAGUGGGUGGGGUAACGGCUCACCUAGGCGACGAUCCCUAGCUGGUCUGAGAGGAUGACCAGCCACACUGGAACUCAGCCACGGUCCUGACUCCUACGGGAGGCAGCAGGGGGGAAUAUUGCACAAUGGGCGCAAGCCUGAUACAGCCAUGCCGCGUGUGUGAAGAAGGCCUUCGGGUUGUAACGCACUUUCAGCGGGGAGGCGUUACCCGCAGAAGAAGCACCGGCUAACUCCGUGCCAGCAGCCGCGGUAAUUC